rnacentral:rRNA from 1 species
AUUGAACGCUGGCGGCAUGCUUUACACAUGCAAGUCGAACGGCAGCGCGGGCUUCGGCCUGGCGGCGAGUGGCGAACGGGUGAGUAAUACAUCGGAACGUGCCCAGUAGUGGGGGAUAGCUCGGCGAAAGCCGGAUUAAUACCGCAUACGACCUGAGGGUGAAAGCGGGGGAUCUUCGGACCUCGCGCUCUUGGAGCGGCCGAUGGCAGAUUAGCUAGUUGGUGGGGUAAAGGCCUACCAAGGCGACGAUCUGUAGCUGGUCUGAGGGGACGACCAGCCACACUGGGACUGAGACACGGCCCAGACUCCUACGGGAGGCAGCAGUGGGGAAUUUUGGACAAUGGGCGAAAGCCUGAUCCAGCAAUGCCGCGUGUGUGAUGAAGGCCUUCGGGUUGUAAAGCACUUUUGGCGGGAACGAAAAGGACUGUGCCAAUACCACGGUUCGAUGACGGUACCCGCAGAAUAAGCACCGGCUAACUACGUG